AGAUCAAAUUGUCGGUCGUGCCUCGGUACGUACUGGCAUUAUUGAUUUCUCCCUUCUGACGAACCAUGAUGUCAUUAAUUUGGUGUCAUGGGGAAUCAGGACUGUUACUUUGAAAAAAUUAGAGUGUUUAAAGCAGGCUCGCGCUUGAAUACAUUAGCAUGGAAUAAUGAAAUAGGACGU
rnacentral:rRNA from 1 species